AUAAUUAUCUCGGCCUUUUGGCUAAGAUCAAAUGUAGAAUCUAUUCUUAUCAGUUUAACAUCUGAUAUGUCCUCUAUCUCAGGAAAUACACUAAAUGGAUUCUUGGAACUAGGAGUUAGAAUUGGAGGCUCAGAUAGUAAAGAAUCCACCUGCAAUGCAGGAGACCUGAGUUCGAUCCCUU
rnacentral:snRNA from 1 species